AGAAGUUCUUUCUAUAAACUGCUCAUCUUGCUGACUUUUUAUCUUUUUGCUCCGCAAAACCCUUCUACUUAAAAAACAAGAACCAAAAAAGAAGUCAUGUUAAGCAGCAGCAGUGAUUGUAGCACAUCGCUGCUUGACGACCUUGACAUCAACCUCAGAGCAAAGAGGAGAUGGCGCAUGGCGUAUCUUGCUUUACGUGUUGUUCGGGUCAUGCUAGAGCUUCCUAAAGAGAUUAUAUCCAGGGCAAGCAACUAUGAAGGCGACGAUGAGAUUGUUCACUACAGUAUUCUGUCCAACACUGAGCAUGAUGACGAUGCAGGCAUCAAAGAAAUGGCCAAGGAAAAAGAGUUGGCUACUGCUCUAAGUGAUCAUGGAGGAUUAUUUACAUCAGGCCUUGCAAAUUCUGAUUAUACCAAAAGCAGCCAUUAUGAUUAUGGAAGAUUGCUCACAAUCACCUUCACCAGAGCCAAGAAGAGAUGGCGCAUGGCCUUUGCAGCCAUAUACGCUGUCAGGGCAAUGCUUUCGCUUCCCAAAGAGAUUGUAGCCAAGAGAAACAACUACAAACAUCACUCCGAGAUCUUCCACUCUUUUUCUCACACUGCACCGGACAUCGAACUAAGCACUGCCUUGGACUUGAAACCAAGAACAAAAUCUCAAACUGAUGCCUACGGUUUUGUCCCCAACCCUGACUUUGACCAUGCAGGGCUCACAACAAUGGUUAAGGAAAGGGACUUGGGUGCUGUAAACGAGUCUGGAGGAGUUAUAGGCAUUGCUGCUUCUCUCAGGACAAACCCUGAAAACGGAAUCUAUGGAAACGAUUUACAUAUCAACAAGCGGCGCGAAGUAUAUGGAUCAAACACCUACCACAAGCAGCCUCCAAAAGGGUUGCUCUAUUUUGUGAUGGACGCUUUAAAAGACACAACCAUUCUGAUUCUAUGUGUCUGCGCAGCACUUUCUCUUGGAUUUGGAAUCAAAGAGCAUGGGGCGAAGGAAGGCUGGUACGAGGGAGGGAGUAUCUUUGUUGCUGUAUUUAUUGUCAUUGUUGUCUCAGCUCUGAGUAACUUUAGACAAGAAUUGCAAUUCGACAAGUUGUCGAAAAUAAGUAGCAACAUCAAAGUUGAGGUACUUAGAGACAGACAGAGACAAGAAGUCUCCAUUUUCGAUAUUGUAGUUGGAGAUGUUGUGUUUCUGAAGUUGGGAGAUCAAAUACCUGCAGACGGAUUGUUCCUAGACGGCCGUUCCUUACAAGUGGAUGAAUCGAGCAUGACAGGAGAGAGUGACCAUGUAGAAGUUGAUUCUGCCAAGAACCCCUUCCUGUUGUCUGGUGCAAAGGUGUUAGACGGCUAUGCCCAAAUGCUCGUCACAUCAGUUGGGAUGAACACGGCGUGGGGCGAAAUGAUGAGCUCAAUAUCGCAGGACACAAACGAACGAACACCAUUACAAGCAAGGCUUGACAAACUAACCUCUUCUAUUGGAAAAGUAGGCCUUAUAGUUGCUUUCCUAGUUCUGGUAGUCUUGUUGAUUCGUUAUUUCACCGGUAACACAAAAGAUGAGUACGGAAAUAAGGAGUAUAGUGGUAGCAACAAAAACAUAGAUAAUGUGUUGAACGGAGUGGUUCGAAUUGUUUCUGCUGCAGUCACUAUUGUGGUGGUGGCAAUCCCAGAGGGUUUGCCGUUGGCGGUCACACUAACGCUAGCCUACUCAAUGAAAAGAAUGAUGAAAGAUCAGGCUAUGGUCAGAAAACUACAAGCUUGUGAGACAAUGGGAUCAGCAACCGUUAUUUGUACAGACAAAACAGGUACUUUGACAAAAAAUGAUAUGGAAGUCACUAAGUUUUGGCUUGGCCAAGAACCUAUUGAAAAACAUAAUUCAAUCAAACAAAAUGUCUCUGAAUUAUUCCAUCAAGGAGUUGGUUUGAACACAACUGGGAGUGUUUACAUACCUCUCUCAGGAUCCAAACCUAACAUCUCUGGCAGUCCAACAGAAAAAGCUAUUCUGUAUUGGGCUGUUUCAGAUUUGGGCAUGGACAUGGAAAAAAUAAAGCUUAGUUAUGAUAUUCUUCAUGUUGAAACAUUUAACUCAGAUAAGAAACGAAGCGGAGUUCUUAUAAAGAAAAAGGAAGAUAAAUCCAUCCAUGUGCACUGGAAAGGAGCUGCUGAGAUGAUAGUUGCCAUGUGCUCAAGUUAUUAUGAAACCGACGGAGCUAUAAAGUCGUUGGAUGAAGAAAGUAGGUCUAACAUUGAGAAAAUAAUCCAAGGCAUGGCAGCUAGCAGCCUCCGGUGCAUUGCUUUUGCUCACACACAAAUUUUAGAGGAAGAAAUUGAAUACAGCAAUGAUGAGAAGACUCACCCAAGGCUCAAAGAAGAUGAACUGAUCUUGCUAGGAGUAGUUGGUCUCAAAGAUCCAUGUCGACCAGGGGUCCUCGAUGCCGUGAAGAUCUGCAAGUCUGCAGGAGUGCAAAUCAAAAUGAUAACGGGAGACAAUGUUUUCACAGCAAAAGCCAUAGCUACAGAAUGCGGAAUACUGCAGAUUGGGGACGAAGCAAAUUAUGGUGAACAAGUGAUAGAAGGAGUCGAGUUUCGAAACUAUACAAACGAAGAGAGAAUGGAAAAGGUUGAUAACAUCCUCGUGAUGGCCAGAUCUUCCCCGUUCGACAAGCUUCUGAUGGUGCAAUGCUUGAAGCAGAAAAAUCAUGUGGUUGCAGUCACAGGAGACGGCACCAACGACGCACCCGCAUUGAAAGAAGCUGACAUAGGACUCUCCAUGGGGAUCCAGGGCACCGAGGUGGCGAAAGAGAGCUCGGACAUCAUCAUCUUGGACGACAACUUCAACUCUGUGGCCACAGUUUUGAGGUGGGGGAGAUGCGUUUACAACAACAUACAGAAAUUCAUACAAUUUCAGCUUACUGUCAAUGUGGCAGCUCUGGUUAUCAACUUCAUUGCAGCAGUUUCAGCUGGAGAUGUUCCCUUAACAGCAGUUCAACUAUUAUGGGUGAAUCUCAUCAUGGACACUCUUGGUGCUCUGGCUCUUGCAACCGAGCGGCCUACCAAUGAGCUCAUGCAGAAGCAGCCUGUUGGCCGAACCGCGCCGCUCAUAACCAACAUUAUGUGGAGAAACCUUUUAUUUCAAGCUCUGUACCAAAUAGCUGUCCUCUUGAUCUUGCAGUUCCGGGGAGAGUCUAUCUUCAAUGUCACUGGUCAAGUGAACGAUACUUUGAUUUUCAAUACGUUUGUGCUCUGUCAAGUUUUCAACGAGUUCAAUUCGAGGAGCAUGGAGAAGCAGAAUGUGUUCAAAGGCAUUCACAGGAACAGACUGUUUAUUGGGAUUGUGGGGGUAACUAUUCUUCUUCAAGUUGUGAUGGUGGAGUUCCUCAAAAAGUUUGCAGAUACAGAGAAGUUGAACUUGUUUCAAUGGGUGACUUGUAUUUUAAUUGCAGCUGUGUCAUGGCCAAUUGGUUGGAUUGUGAAGUGUAUACCUGUCCCGGAAGAACCAGUCUUCGAAAUUAUCAGGAGGUCAAUAGUCACAUUCAAAAGAAAUAUGCGAGCAUAGCUUGGAGACCAGGACAAGACGUCUGGUAUUCGAGCGUGGAGCUCUGGCCGUGAACUUAGGGCUACAGGUCCAACAUAUAGAGCUCCUAGGCUCUAGAUUUGGAGCUCGGCGCUCGAGGUUCAUGUCCUAUAAUCCAGAUUCCAGAGCUCGAAAUUUGAGUCCCGGGUCUGGAUCGAGUGUUUAAGGUUUGAGGCCCAGAGCCCAUGCUUGGGGCUUUUAGGUCAUGUUUAGUGGGCUGGAUUGGACUGGACAAAUUUAACGGCUUCUUAGAUAUAGAUCCAUUUUCAUUUAGAUACAAUAGAUAUAGGAUACUAAUUGGACUCUCUUCAAUUGCAGCCCUCCCAAUCAAUUGAAUGGCCAGAUUACCACAUGGACUUUGAAACAUCUCAAAAUAUCUCCACACUUUUAAAAACGGUCUCACGUUAUCCAUUCCGUCAGUAUUAUAGACGUUCUGUUACGUGCUUUGGGGUCUACUUCGUUUCAAUCCUUAACAUUGGAGAAUAAGGAUUUUUCAGCUUCAGAAAAGGGAAAAGGGGGUAUUUGGAGAAGAAGGCUAGGGCUUAUCCAUUCAAUCUGCAAGUCUGAAAAAUUUGGGAAAUUUGGAAAUUUGGCGGUGAUUGACUAGAUAUGGACAUGUGACAUAGUAUGCUUGCCUUAGAAUGAGUGGCAUUGUGUGUAAUUUUGAUAUUUUUUAAUGAUAUUUUUGUAAAAUUAGGUACCACAUUUUGGUUUUAGCCUUGUGCUAAUUAGAUAAAAUUGUAUUCAUAUCUUCCAAAUUAGUAAACUAUAUUGUGUUUUAAAA